rnacentral:lncRNA from 1 species
AUCUAACCGUUAGAUCUGAUUGGAUGAGCUCAAAACUCAUUACCUUCGUAUGGGUUGUUGAUCUGAUCUCCACAACUAAAUCCAUAGAUCUGACAUCCUUCUUGAUUGCUUGCAGUCACACAGAGUGUCUAGCCUCUACGGAUGGUUCACUCGAAGAUCCAAUCUGAUCGGUCCCUUUGAGAGUGCUAGCUCUUGCAAGGAUCAACUUGAUGGCCGAUUUUGAUCCUUCUUCGAUUCACUCGGACUCCUCCAAGAUUGAGAAAGAUGCAAUAGAGAAAGCAAGGUGCUAGAAGAUGA